rnacentral:rRNA from 1 species
UACGUAGGGGGGCAAGCGUUUGUCCGGAUUUAUUGGGCGUAAAGAGCGUGUAGGCGGCCAAACAGGUCCACUGUGAAAACUCGAGGCUCAACCUCGAGAGGUCGGUGGAAACCGUCUGGCUAGAGUCCGGAAGAGGAGAGUGGAAUUCCCGGUGUAGCGGUGAAAUGCGCAGAUAUCGGGAAGAACACCCGUGGCGAAGGCGGCUCUCUGGGGACGGUACUGACACUGAGACGCGAAAGCGUGGGGGAGCGAACAGG